rnacentral:lncRNA from 1 species
CCAUUUUACCCUUAACCAUGGGGCUUUAUAGCUUUUGCAUGAGUCUUGAGCAAUUAGAAGACUGAACAAUCAGGUCAAGCACUAUGUCUCAAAUUCUUUGCAGAACCAUUAUCCUGGAGUUUUUAUAAGUUUUCAGAAUAAAACUCAGAGCUUAAUUGUAUGACACCCUCAAGUCUCUCAAUGUAUAUGGUAUUUAUGGUUCUCUCUUGAGGCAUUAAUGAUGCUAUGCCUCCUAUAGCUAAAGGUAUAUAUGGUGGAGCUUAUAGGAGUGCCAAUAACAAGGAUAGGCAUAUAUACUUGCAAUGCAUGUAUUGUAAAGUCAACUAAUGGAUCCAUAGAGAAUCGAGGCAUACAAUCAAACCAAGAUGUGCAUGUGUAUGGAAUACGGUGGAUGGGUGUAGUUGUGGUAUUUGUGGCUAAUUUCUAUUUCUAAUUUUGCUCCUUGAGGAUAAAUCUCUCUUUUGAUCUUCGAACUUUUCGCGGGAAAACAUGGGCUAUCUUUAUUUUAUUUUUAUUUAUUUUUUAUUUAGGGAGGCGGGCAUCUAGUACCCAUUGUUUUAAUUAUUGGGACACUUGUCCAUCUUUACUCCCUUUCCUUCUUUUAUAUUUUUGCAUAGCCACAUGUAUCAUUUGAAUACAAUAAAUGAUCAGAGAGGUAAUAAUAAGAACUUAGGGCAUUUAUGAUGGGCUUUAUCCUAUGGGUAUGGUUUGUUUUUAUGUCCUCUCCCAGUGUAGGAGGAGAACAUGAUUGAUGAACAUGGAAUGGAAAUGAUUGUGAUUACUCCUAGUGUGGGAAUAAUGCAUAUGUGAACUGUGGUGUGUACGUGAUCUUGGUUUUAAAAGCAUGACAAGACUCUCGUAAGUUAUACUACAAAGGUUGACUGAACUCAAUGCAAAGCAAGCAGCAUAAAUGUGCAAAAGUUUUCCUAACUCUAAAUGUAUAUUAUAUAUGGCUUUGGUAGGAAUUCAAACUUGUCAUACAAGAGCUCAUCAUGUAAAUUUUAAAUUUUUGAAAUAAAUCUCUAGAACUUAAUAAUGCUACGAAUAAGAUAAAUAGCAGCUCAAACUUUUAAUGAUCAUAUCAACCAACUACCUAGACUUAGCUCAAACUUAUGCCUCCACAAGUUGCAGGUUCAGAGUAAACCUUCAAAUUAAAACAGCAUGUCCAAAACUCGAGAGAAUCUACCAUUGGAAUCUAGGUACUUGUAAAGAACUAUAACAGAGCAACUAUUCAUCAUCUCCAAGACAAAAUUUUAAUGUUCAUCAAUUUUUGUUUAGCUCUAGUUUAAACUGACUCUAAACAGACUCUGACACUUAACUAAUUAUAAACUCACAAAAAGACUAUGACUUGUGGACCUUCAUGUGCCCACAUAUUUUUGGUAUUUUUAUGACUAUAUAGACUCAAAAUCACUUAGGUAUAAUUACCUGAUAACUAGAGGAUGCUCCUCCCCCAAGCUGGAUGGUUGCAAUACUUGGUGUAGAUGUCCUUUAGAGUGAGCUGACCAGUAGCGGACUUGGUGGGUGCCACUGAUCUCUCAUUGCUAUGGUGUUAUUCCUGCAUAAAUACUCUCCACAAAGAGAAACCAAAACUCGAGGCUCGAAUUUGUUAAUGAGUUAGCGGUCAGCCAAAAAGUAAUUGAUCUCCUUUAUGAGCUAGUUUUAGUGUUGUCUAAUUUAAACAUGAUUUCACUUUUCUCUUCCUUUUGAAUUUUCUAUUUAUGAUGCCGGAAUUUAAAUAUGAAUGCUAUAUUUUUUCAUUUUUAUUUUAUGCCACCAUAGCAGAUGUUCCUUCCUUCGGAAAAUACCAUAGGGUAUCCACAUGGGGCUUUGUGAUGCCAUGAGUAAUGUAGUAAAUAUUUUUGUUAUUUUUAUAUCUUUUAGUGUAUAAACAAAAUUAUGCUACUAAAUAAAUUACGAAUGCAUUUAAAGAGAUAACUACCAUUCUAACCUUAUGGCUAGGGUACGGAAUUUAAAGACUACCGACAGGACUUAGAUAGAGGAGAACACUUACUUAGUGGAUUC